rnacentral:rRNA from 1 species
UGGGGAAUAUUGCACAAUGGGCGAAAGCCUGAUGCAGCAACGCCGCGUGAGGGACGACGGCCUUCGGGUUGUAAACCUCUUUUAGCAAGGAAGAAGCGAAAGUGACGGUACUUGCGAAAGAACGCGCGCUAACUACGUGCCAGCAGCCGCGGUAAUACGUAGGGCGCAAGCGUUAUCCGGAAUUAUUGGGCGUAAAGAGCUCGUAGGCGGUUUGUCGCGUCUGCUGUGAAAACCCGAGGCUCAACCUCGGGCCUGCAGUGGGUACGGGCAGACUAGAGUGCGGUAGGGGAGAUUGGAACUCCUGGUGUAGCGGUGGAAUGCGCAGAUAUCAGGAAGAACACCGAUGGCGAAGGCAGAUCUCUGGGCCGUAACUGACGCUGAGGAGCGAAAGGGUGGGGAGCAAAACAGGCUUAGAUACCCUGGUAGUCCACCCCGUAAACGUUGGGAACUAGUUGUGGGGUCCAUUCCACGGAUUCCGUGACGCAGCUAACGCAUUAAGUUCCCCGCCUGGGGAGUACGGCCGCAAGGCUAAAACUUAAAUGAAUUGACGGGGUCAUAGCUG